UACGUAGGGUCCGAGCGUUUGUCCGGAGUUACUGGGCGUAAAGCGCGCGCAGGCGGCGGUGCUGGCCCGGCGUGAAAGCCCCCGGCUCAACCGGGGAGAGUCGUCGGGGACCGCACCGCUUGAGGGCGGUAGGGGCUGGUGGAAUGCCUGGUGUAGUGGUGAAAUGCGUAGAGAUCAGGCAGAACACCUGGGGCGAAGGCGGCCAGCUGGGCCGUCCCUGACGCUGAGGCGCGAAGGCGUGGGGAGCGAACGGG
rnacentral:rRNA from 1 species